CAGCCGCCGCGGGAAUACAGAGGGUGCGAGCGUUAAUCGGAUUUACUGGGCGUAAAGCGUGCGUAGGCGGCUUCUUAAGUCGGAUGUGAAAUCCCUGAGCUUAACUUAGGAAUUGCAUUCGAUACUGGGAAGCUAGAGUAUGGGAGAGGAUGGUAGAAUUCCAGGUGUAGCGGUGAAAUGCGUAGAGAUCUGGAGGAAUACCGAUGGCGAAGGCAGCCAUCUGGCAUAAUACUGACGCUGAGGUACGAAAGCAUGGGGAGCAAACAGGAUUAGAUACCCCCGUAGACCCUGUCUCUUAUAC
rnacentral:rRNA from 1 species